GAUGAACGCUGACAGAAUGCUUAACACAUGCAAGUCGAGUGGAAAUACGGUUUGGGUGGCGGUCGGGUGAGUAACGCGUACAGAACUUGCCUAACAGCUAGGGACAACAUUUGGAAACGAAUGCUAAUACCUGAUAGUAUGAUUAUAUGGCUAAGAAUAUUUAUGAAAGCGAUAUGCGCUGUGAGAGAGCUUUGCUGCCCAUUAGCUAGUUGGAGAGGUAACAGCUCACCAAGGCGAGGAUGGGUAGCCGGCCUGAGAGGGUGACCGGCCACAAGGGGACGCGGGAAGGGGCAGUAGGCCAACGGGAGGCAGGAGCGGAGAACUGACGGAGAAGGACCGAGAGAGUGAUGAAGGACUUCUGAGUGUAAGAUGAAGUUUUUAGGGAUGUAAAGUGCUUUCAGUUGGGAAGAAAAAAAUGACGGUACCAACAGAAGAAGCGACGGCUAAAUACGUG
rnacentral:rRNA from 1 species